ACAAUCUGAGAAGGAAAAACCCCUCCUGGUCAAUAAAGAGACAACACAUCAGUGCUCCCUCAAAAGAAUCCCAGGAAGGAGGACUGAGGCUUCCCCCUGGAUGGAGGAGAAGAUGGAAGCUCAUCAGCAGUGAAGGACUUCUUCUAGCACAGUAUAACCUUGGAUUCAAGAGGUAAUGGAGGAGAUCUCAUGUGCAGAGGAGGUAGAAAAAAGGGUGGAGGAAUCCCUCACUUCAGACGAGAUUAGGAAGGUGCUUUGGAUACAAGCAUAUUUCCAGAACAAACUAUGCUCAAAAA